UAGCAGGCUGGGCCGAAAAUAAGCUCUUCUUCAAUAAAUAAAGCAUUAGUAGCUCAGUGUUAGAGCAUC
rnacentral:tRNA from 1 species